UAGUGUAGAUAGAGUUUGAUCCUGGCUCAGAUUGAACGCUGGCGGCAUGCCUUACAUAUGCAAGUCGAACGGUAACAGGUUAAGCUGACGAGUGGCGAACGGGUGAGUAAUAUAUCGGAACGUGCCCAGUAGUGGGGGAUAGCCCGGCGAAAGCCGGAUUAAUACCGCAUACGACCUACGGGUGAAAGCGGGGGAUCGCAAGACCUCGCGCUAUUGGAGCGGCCGAUAUCAGAUCAGCUAGUUGGUGGGGUAAAGCUCACCAAGGCGACGAUCUGUAGCUGGUCUGAGAGGACGACCAGCCACACUGGGACUGAGACACGGCCCAGACUCCUACGGGAGGCAGCAGUGGGGAAUUUUGGACAAUGGACGCAAGUCUGAUCCAGCCAUGCCGCGUGCGGGAAGAAGGCCUUCGGGUUGUAAACCGCUCUUGUCAGGGAAGAAAAGUCUCGAGUUAAUACCUUGGGAUGAUGACGGUACCUGAAGAAUAAGCGCCGGCUAACUACGUGCCAGCAGCCGCGGUAAU
rnacentral:rRNA from 1 species